rnacentral:rRNA from 1 species
ACGCCUUAUACAUGCAAGUCGAACGGAGUAGCAAUACUUAGUGGCAGACGGGUGAGUAACAUGUGGGAAUCUUCCCUUUGGUGAGGAAUAACACGAGGAAACUUGUGCUAAUACCUCAUAAGUCUUUACGGAGAAAGCUUUAUGCGCCAAAGGAUGAGCCUGCACUUGAUUAGUUUGUUGGUGGGGUAAUGGCCUACCAAGACUGUGAUCAAUAGCUGAUCUGAGAGGAUGAUCAGCCACAUUGGGACUGAGACACGGCCCAAACUCCUACGGGAGGCAGCAGUAAGGAAUCUUGCACAAUGGAGGAAACUCUGAUGCAGCGAUGCCGCGUGAGUGAAGAAGGCCUUUGGGUUGUAAAGCUCUUUCGUCGGGGAAGAAAAUGACGGUACCCGAAUAAGAAGGUCCGGCUAACUUCGUGCCAGCAGCCGCGGUAAUACGAAGGGACCUAGCGUAGUUCGGAAUUACUGGGCUUAAAGAGUUCGUAGGUUGUUAAAAAAGUUGGUGGUGAAAUCCCAGAGCUUAACUCUGGAACUGCCAUCAAAACUUUUUAGCUAGAGUUUGAUAGAGGAAAGCAGAAUUUCUAGUGUAGAGGUGAAAUUCGUAGAUAUUAGAAAGAAUACCAAUUGCGAAGGCAGCUUUCUGGAUCAUUACUGACACUGAGGAACGAAAGCAUGGGUAGCGAAGAGGAUUAGAUACCCUCGUAGUCCAUGCUGUAAACGAUGUGUGUUAGACGUUGGAAAUUUAUUUUCAGUGUCGCAGCGAAAGCAUUAAACACACCGCCUGGGGAGUACGACC